CCUACGGGUGGCUGCAGUCGAGGAUCUUCGGCAAUGGGCGAAAGCCUGACCGAGCGACGCCGCGUGGAGGAUGAAGGCCUUCGGGUUGUAAACUCCUGUCGGAGGGGAAGAAAUUUUGACUACCCCCUCGGAGGAAGCCCGGGCUAAGUUCGUGCCAGCAGCCGCGGUAACACGAACCGGGCAAACGUUAUUCGGAAUUACUGGGCUUAAAGGGUGCGUAGGCUGCGCUAUAAGUCGGGGGUGAAAUCCCUCAGCUCAACUGGGGAACUGCGCCCGAUACUGUAGUGCUUGAGGAGGAUAGAGGUGAGCGGAACUAGCAGUGGAGCGGUGAAAUGCGUUGAUAUUGCUGGGAACACCCGUGGCGAAAGCGGCUCACUGGGUCCUUUCUGACGCUGAGGCACGAAAGCUAGGGGAGCGAACGGGAUUAGAUACCCGGGUAGUC
rnacentral:rRNA from 1 species